rnacentral:rRNA from 1 species
GUAGGGGGCGAGCGUUGUCCGGAUUUAUUGGGCGUAAAGAGCUCGUAGGCGGUUCGAUAAGUCGGACGUGAAAUCUCCACGCUCAACGUGGAGGGGCCGUUCGAUACUGUCGUGACUCGAGUCCGGUAGGGGAGUGUGGAAUUCCCGGUGUAGCGGUGAAAUGCGCAGAGAUCGGGAGGAACACCCGUAGCGAAGGCGGCACUCUGGGCCGGUACUGACGCUGAGGAGCGAAAGCGUGGGGAGCAAACAGGAUUAGAUACCCUGGUAGUCCACGCCGUAAACGUUGGGCACUAGGUGUGGGACUCUAUCGACGGGUUCCGUGCCGUAGCUAACGCAUUAAGUGCCCCGCCUGGGGAGUACGGCCGCAAGGCUAAA